AAAACUUGCCACAUUCAACAUGGAACACUUGGAUCUGGCGGGUUAUCUAAACACGCCCAUUAAUUGGAAUUUAGGCGCAUUUGAACAGCAAGAUGGCAUUUACCUGUCCAGUUCGCGCCAAAUGCUGGAGCCCAUCAUGGAGGAGACCUCCGAGGAUGAGGAGCAUGCGCAAAAUAGCUGGAACGGCUACGAGCAUCGCGGCAGCAGCAGCUGCGGCGGCGGCUUCUGGAGCUCCGCUGAGUCCGAGACAGGCUCGGUCAUAAGAGUCGAAAUUAACAAGGAUAUCGACGCCAUAUCGGAACGUGACUUUGCCUGUCCGCCGAAGCGCGCGCGCCGCUCACAGGAGGAGCUGCAGCAGCAGCAGCUGCUGCACAGUCUGGAGGAUAUGGUGCAGCUGCGUCGCCCGCCGCCGCCGCGCUACGAUGCCGAGGCGCACAACAGCUUGGAGCGCUUCCUGGCGCUGGAGGCGUGCGCCCGGGACAGCUACGGCAGCCAGGGCCAGCGCAACAGCACGGGCAGCUGCCGGCGUGGCGGCAACUUUGAGGAUUUCUACUCGGACAACGAUUCGUAUCAUUCGCUAUCGCGCAGCUCCUCGCUGGUGCAGUUCGAGUCGCUGGAGCGCCAGCUGACGCUGCAGGAACAGCACCAGAGCAUGAACAGCCUGGGCAACAGCUCGCCCUCGCUGUUCAGCUGCGAGACGGUGGCCAGCAGCAGCGGCGGCAGCAGCAGCGGCGGCGCCAGCGGCGGUAGCCACAGUAAUCCGGACAGCCGGCGCGGCUCGGCCACGUCGCUGCUGAAGCGCUACGAGUCGAGCGACGGACGUCUGCAUCAGACCUACUACGAGCUGCACAAGCUGGACCUGGAGGAGCAGCAGCGCGAACUGUUCGGUGCCUGCAAGAGCCUGCAUCAGGCGGAACUCAAAUCGGAUUCGGAGUCGAGCAGCACGUCCAGCAGCGAUAGCAGCGGACACAGCAUGCUCAGCGCCUGUCCGGGUAAACAAGAUGCGGGCAGUGCCCGACGCCUGCCGCUCAAUUCGGCGGAGAAUUUGUCUGAGGAUUCGGGCUACUGUGAGCCGAGCACAUUGCGACGCGCCAAAUCCAAGAGCAUACCAAAGAAUUUCGACAAGCUCUGCGAAGAGGAGGAGAUGGAGGAGCUGCUGGAACAGGAGCCAGCGUCAGUGGUAGGGGCAAUGGCAGUGGCUGGCGCAGGGGCUGGGGCAGGGGCAGCGACAGGCGCACAUUCCAAAAACUCCAAUGAUUUGUGUCAGACAAAAAUAGAGCAGCAGACAAACGAGACGCAGUCAGCGUCGCAGUCAUCUCUCGGCUCUCCGGCAUCGUCUAUAAAUAGCUGCGAGAGAGGCGCACGCUCGCCAUCCACGUCGUCUUCGCCAUCGCCCAGCGGAUCAGCGGCAUCCGCAACGUCGUCGCCGACGUCGUUGUCGUCAACAUCGUCCGCCGCCUCGUUCACUUGGCUGCGCAACAGUUUGCCCGACAUACGCGAGCCGCGAGGUUCGUCGCCCAAAUUUCUAACGGACAACAACAGCUACGGCCUGGCCAACAACAAGAGCAGCAGCAGCAGCAGCAGCAGCAGCAGCGCCUCCUCCUCCGCCUCCUCCACCACAUCCGCCGAGUGCUCGCCCGUGCUGUCACGAAUCAGCACAGCGACAGCCUUAGCCGGCAGCGUGCCCAACGAGCUGCAGCAGCUGGGCAGACGGAGGCGAACACGUCGCCAGCAGCAGCAGAGGAAUUGCCAGAGCAGCGAGGACGGGCACAGCUCUAGCGAGGAUUUGGACAAUUUUGAUUGCAGCAGCUUGCCGCGCAUGCGACGCAGCUGCAGCUGGAACGAACGUUGCGGCUUCAGUGCAAGAACAGGAACGGAAGCGGGAAAGGGCGCAGGCGCCGGAGCAGGCUACCUAAACGCUAGCUAUCAAAACCUCACGCUACUCGACUACGCGGAUCGCAGUGAUAAUUGCAAGCGCAGCUCUUUCGACAUGGACAAACGUAAACGUGUCGUUUCUGGCGAGGAUUACGACCAGCUCAUAUGCAAGGGCAACUUUCUGCUGGACGAGCUGAGCCAAAUCUAUGACAAAAAUGCAUCCAUAUUGAACGACAAGACCGUCGAGCAGGAACCGGCGCCGGAGCAGGAGGAGGCGCCUCCACAAGUGCAGCAUGUCCAGCUAACCAUACGUAAGCCGCCGGCUCGCCAAAAGCGGCAGACAGCGGAGCAGGAGCCAACAUCGCCAGUUUCUACUGCAUCCACCGUGCCCGCGGCGACUGUCAUCAGUUUCAGCAGCUUUGGCAAGACUUUCGAUCAGGAUCCGACCAAUUUGCGCACCUCCUAUGCCCAGUCGCUGGAGCAGUGCAAUUUUGAGCUGCCCAAGAGGAAUCCGGCACCGCCGCCGCCCAAUCGGGUGCUGCCCAAGCGGCGCUUCCAGAGCUCAACGGCCAAGCAGCGCAGCCUGGUCAGCAGUACGCCCAAUCUAUCGGCCUUCGAUGGCGGCCAGGAGCCGGAGGAUGAUAUAUAUGUGAGCAGUGCGCACAAUUCGAUGCAUCAGCUGCCGCAGACACCGACACAGCCAAAGCCCUUGGGCAUACUGUUGCCGGCGGGCUCGCGUAAUUCAUUCAGCAAGGAGGUGAGUUUCUGUCCAGUGGUGAGUAAGUAUUGCUGGCAGGAGCAAUCGUCGGAGGAGCCGCAAGAGGAGCACGAGCAGGCGAGCAGCGAUGAGGAGCACAAUGAUGAUGCUGAUGAUGAUGAUGAUGAUGAUGAUGAUGGAGAAGAAGAGGAACUGUUGGAUAACAACGAUGCCACUGUUAUUUAUAACACCAAAGAGAACGAGUACAUAGCAGCGCGCUACAAUGAAGAGCAACAGCUAAGAGCGCCGCAACAAGAGCAACAAGAGCCACAUCAACAGCAAAGAGCGCAAGAGAGCGAACGCGAGCGUGAGAGCGUGAUCGAUGACCAGAGCAGCGAGAGCGAUGAAAACAACGAAAACAUCGCCGCUGGUGUCAGCAUGGAAACGCAACAACAAAAAACAUCGCCGCCGCUGCCGCCGCCGCUGCUGCUGCAGCCCGUUUCAAGCGUCGCUGCUGCUGCCUCGGCUGUCAGUCUUGAAACGAGCGUCGACGCGAGCUCAUCGUACGCGAUCGCCAGUUCACCAGUUCACACAGUGCCGUUACACACACGCCCCCUAAGCCUGCAUUUGCCCAUACUAAGCGAACCGCCCACAAACCGCGCACAUCACAUACUCUACGCCUCGCAGCAGCUGCUGCAGCGUUACGACCACGACAACGUCGACAAGAACAUGUCGUCCAAAUCAACGUCAGUCCAGCCCACGGCGCACAUAACCAGCGCCAAUAACAAUGAGUCGCCGCUAAAGCAGCGCGCCAACAAAACGGACGAGAAGCAUCCCAGCUCAAAGAGUUUUCUGUCGCGCUUUGCGCAUGGCCUGCGCUUCUCGCUGCGCCGCAAGAAGAAGCAGCAGCAACAGCAACAGCAACCGCAGCUGCAGCAGCAGCAGCAGCAGCAGCAACAGCCGCUCAAGCAAGCAACGCAAAGCAACGGCAAAAGCCAGGAUUUCAUUUACAUACCCCUCAAGCCGCCGCGCAGCACGCUAGAUGACAGCAACGCCUCCGAAGCGAGCACCGCCAGCGUUCACAGUCGCCAGGCGACAGCAGCAGCAGCAACAGCAGCAGUCGAGCUGGAGCUGCCAAAAACAUCGACACUGCAAAAGCUGGUGACAGGUAAACCCCCGUUGCCGAAGUUGCCGCCACGGCAAGCGCAUGCGCCGUAUGCGGUCAGUGCUGCCAAUGGCUCCUUAGGUGCUGCCCAUGCUAGCGAUGCUCUCUUGGCCGCCGAACGGCAACAAUAUGCGGCCUUUGCCCAACAGUUGACAACGGGCCAGCGUCACGAAAUGUCGCUAACGGAAACGGAAAUGGCUCGAGCCACCGAAUCGCCGUCGCGCGCCUCUGUCGCGCAAAAGACGCAAAUGUUCAAUCAGCUGGGCGCCGGCUUGCCGUCGCGUCCGCUAACCAUGGUAACAGCCGUGCCGGUGGCUGUCUCCCCGAUGCUGGAUACCACCGAUGGCGAUGGCGGGUCUGGAAAAAUGGGCCUCAUCGAGACCAAUUUGGACACACACGAAACGAUUAUCACGGGCAAGACGCGCUCCCUUAUGGACAUCACCUGCAAUCCGCUGCACAAACGGUAUCUGGUCAAGCGUUUGAAUGUGACCAGCGCCGCCUACGAUGUCCGGGAUGAUGACGACGACGACGAUGACGACGAUGAUGAGCGUCUCGAUGGAAACAAUCAACGCAUCAAGCCAUCAACACAGGCGGGCGGCGUCCAAAUCGCCUCAGUUCGUAGGCCACACAAAAGCAUGGAAUUUCUGCUGGACAAAGAGAAUCAAAAGAAUGUUUUGCCACCUGAGAAUGAGCUACAGAAAUCGCACGAUCACAAUCCGGCCGCCCUGAGCGAGCAUCAAUUGCGAGUGCAGGCAUCGCUGCAGCGCCUGAAUAUACCCGACUGGUUCCGACAAUACAAUCAAAAUGCAGCACGAUCGCCAGAUGGCGCCGGCGCCGGUGCCGGCAACGCUGGCCCAGCAUCCUCUGGCGGCUACAAGCCGGGCAAUUUUACGCGCAAGCGCACACAGGACUCGGGUCGCUGGCAGGGCCUUAACUCGAAGACGACUUCGCUCAGUUCGCUGGGCUCGCAGCGCUCUGAUCGUAGUCCCCUGCUGUUGAGUCCCUCGGCGCACAGUCAUCAUGGCGGCCAGAGCAGCAGCGUCAGCGGCUCGGCGACGGCACAUCAGGCCCAUGGCCAGGGCGUCGGCGCCACACGCUGGUCCACCUCGCAUCUGAACUCCACACAAACAUCGCCGAGCGUCUCGCAGCGCGGCAGCUUUGCCCGCGGCGCGCCCAUCAACAGCAGCUUCAUGUCCGUGGCCAGCGGCAGCAGCGCCGGCGCCCCCGGCGGUGUCCUGAGGAACUCCUAUCGUCAGCCCUACCUAGGCUGGCGCAGCACUGAGAAGCUCUCACAGCGCACGCCCCACGAACGCCUGGCCAACUCGCUGCUGGCGCAACGCACAUCGCCAACAACGGCGACGCCGACGAAUGGUGUGCGAAGGCUGCAGCCCGUAACGCCGGAGAUACAGAGCUCCAUCAAGGAGGUAACCUCGGCCAUAGUGCAUUAUGUGAACGAUCAGACGCAGGCGCAGGCACAGCUGCAGCAACAGCGCAGCCGCUCGACGAGUCCCAAUUCGAGCUACCUGUAAAAGUCCAACCACAGCACCAGCUGCAGCACUCAGAGUCGGUUUGGUCAGUCGGUUAGCUGACUGCCACGCCUACAGCGAUGUCUAGAGAAAGUGCUGGCUUGAGAGCAGCUUUGUUGGCACACGUCCGCUGGAUUCACCGCAAACGCCCGUCAUUGACAGCAGCAGCAGCCCGCCCG
rnacentral:misc_RNA from 1 species